GAUGAACGCUGGCGGCGUGCUUAGCACAUGCAAGUCGAACGGUGAAGCAGGAGCUUGCUCUUGUGGAUCAGUGGCGAACGGGUGAGUAACACGUGAGCAACCUGCCCCUGACUCUGGGAUAAGCGCUGGAAACGGCGUCUAAUACUGGAUAUGUGAUGUGACCGCAUGGUCUGCAUCUGGAAAGAAUUUCGGUUGGGGAUGGGCUCGCGGCCUAUCAGCUUGUUGGUGAGGUAAUGGCUCACCAAGGCGUCGACGGGUAGCCGGCCUGAGAGGGUGACCGGCCACACUGGGACUGAGACACGGCCCAGACUCCUACGGGAGGCAGCAGUGGGGAAUAUUGCUCAAUGGGCGGAAGCCUGAUGCAGCAACGCCGCGUGAGGGAUGACGGCCUUCGGGUUGUAAACCUCUUUUAGCAGGGAAGAAGCGAAAGUGACGGUACCUGCAGAAAAAGCACCGGCUAACUGCGUGCCAGCAGCCGCCGUAA
rnacentral:rRNA from 1 species